UUGAUAUAAUAACAUAAUGUCAGUCAGUUGAUAUAAUAACAUAAUGUCAGUCAGUUGAUAUAAUAACAUAAUGUCAGUCAGUUGAUAUAAUAACAUAAUGUCAGUCAGUUGAUAUAAUAACAUAAUGUCAGUCAGAUGAUAUAAUAACAUAAUGUCAGUCAGUUGAUAUAAUAACAUAAUGUCAGUCAGUUGAUAUAAUAACAUAAUGUCAGUCAGUUGAUAUAAUAACAUAAUGUCAGUCAGUUGAUAUAAUAACAUAAUGUCAGUCAGUUGAUAUAAUAACAUAAUGUCAGUCAGUUGAUAUAAUAACAUAAUGUAUGCUAUUUUUCCAAUACAUUUCUCAUAUGCUUUUCCUCAGCAGAAAUCGAACCCACAAUAUAUAUAAGUUUUAAAUCCAUGUUUUAUUUUUAUUUUAUUGAAUAUUAAAACAUACAAUCUACCUCCUGCCGCUCAGCAUCUACAUUACGUCCAGUCUAACAGACUCCCAUCCAGAGAAACCCACAGGAGUCUAACAGACUCCCAUCCAGAGAGACCCACAGGAGUCUAACAGACUCCCAUCCAGAGAGACCCACAGGAGUCUAACAGACUCCCAUCCAGAGAGACCCACAGGAGCCUAACAGACUCCCAUCCAGAGAGACCCACAGGAGUCUAACAGACUCCCAUCCAGAGAGACCCACAGGAGUCUAACAGACUCCCAUCCAGAGAGACCCACAGGAGCCUAACAGACUCCCAUCCAGAGAGACCCACAGGAGUCUUAACAGACUCCCAUCCAGAGAGACCCACAGGAGCACCCCGCCCAAGAGCACAUUGACAGAUCUCCCACCAAGUUGAAUCGGGGAUUCUAAUCAGCGACCUCUCAACCACCGGCCCAAGCUCCCAACCGCCAGGCCACCAAACCAUCCAAGGUCCCAACCGCCAGGCCACCAAACCAUCCAAGGUCCCAACCGCCAGGCCACCAAACCAUCCAAGCUCCCAACCGCCAGGCCACCAAACCAUCCAAGCUCCCAACCGCCAGGCCACCAAACCAUCCAAGCUCCCAACCGCCAGGCCACCAAACCAUCCAAGCUCCCAACCGCCAGGCCACCAAACCAUCCAAGCUCCCAACCGCCAGGCCACCAAACCAUCCAAGCUCCCAACCGCCAGGCCACCAAACCAUCCAAGCUCCCAACCGCUAGGCCACCAAACCAUCCAAGGUCCCCCCACAGUUCCCCCCUGAGAGCUGCCUCUCAACCCCCAGUCUUUAGUGUUGAAAGCUCCAUGCUCUGCCAGCUGAGCCAUACAGGACCACAGGUGGACUCAGUUGGACUCAGGUGGAGUCAGUAGGAUUCAUUUGUAGUCAGUAGGACUCAGUCAGUAAGACUUGGUUGUAGUCAGUAGGACUCAGUCAGCAAGACUUGGUUGUAGUCAGUAGGACUCAGUCAGUAAGACUUGGUUGUAGUCAGUAGGACUCAGUCAGUAAGACUUGGUUGUAGUCAGUAGGACUCAGUCAGUAAGACUUGGUUGUAGUCAGUAGGACUCAGUCAGUAAGACUUGGUUGUAGUCAGUAGGACUCAGUCAGUAAGACUUGGUUGUAGUCAGUAGGACUCAGUCAGUAAGACUUGGUUGUAGUCAGUAGGACUCAGUCAGUAAGACUUGGUUGUAGUCAGUAGGACUCAGUCAGUAAGACUUGGUUGUAGUCAGUAGGACUCAGUCAGUAAGUCUUGGUUGUAGUCAGUAGGACUCAGUCAGUAAGUCUUGGUUGU